rnacentral:misc_RNA from 1 species
UCUCCGUAGGUGACCCUGGGGAGGGAUCAUUACUGAGUGAGGGUCUCCGGGCCCGACCUCCAACCCUUUUGUGAACCACCUCGUUGCUUCGGGGGCGACCCUGCCGUUCGCGGCGUGGGGCCCCCGGAGCCCAUCAAACCCUGCGUAACUAAGUUGUCGGAGUUUAAACAAAUGAAACAAAACUUUCAACAACGGAUCUCUUGGCUCUCGCAUCGAUGAAGAACGCAGC